GCCCUGGUAGUAUAGUCCGGUCUAGUAUGAGCGGCUGUCGCCCGCUCGACCCGGGUUCAAAUCCCGGCCAGGGCGCCA
rnacentral:tRNA from 2 species